rnacentral:lncRNA from 1 species
GGUAACUGAGUUAGGGCUAACUGACUCAGUGACAUCGUGAGUCUCUUAAUGAUUUACCCUUGGAUUAGUUGACAGAGUCUAAACUCUGUUAAUUUGGAAGGCCUAUAAAUAUCAUGAGUCUUCACCAGUUCAAGGGGUCAAGGAUUCAGUCUAGAGAAUCUCAAUCACAAAACCUCUCUCUCUCUCAAAGCAUGCUCAACCUCUCCAAUUCUCAAUCUCUCUAAAGCUCGGGCUUUGCAAAAUCUUCUCUACGCACAAAGUAACAUCAACAACAACACUGAGAAGCAUGCAAAGAAGGGAAGAAGAAGAAUUCGAAAAUCGGAAGAAAGGAGAAAGAUUUCAAUACCUGUUCGCAAUUGAACUUCGAGUCCGGUAAGUCUUUCGAUUCAUAUCGACACUACUUUAUUUCUAUUUGUGCAUUUGAUAAUGGACCAAAUCGAAUCUUGCAGAGUUUUGAAGCUUUACGAAUCUCGACUGAACCGUGGAGUUUCGCAAUGAUUGUGAACGACGGGACAGGGUACUCGUUUGAAUCAAAGCGAAGCCGGAAGAUAUGAGGACGUCGUGAUGACGUCGACGCACGAUGAUGCUUGCCGCUCCGAAUUUAA